rnacentral:rRNA from 1 species
CACGUAGUUAGCCGUGGCUUUCUGGUUAGGUACCGUCAAGACUUGUUCAGUUACUAACAAAUUUGUUCUUCCCUAACAACAGAGUUUUACGAUCCUAAGACCUUCAUCACUCACGCGGCGUUGAUCCGUCAGGCUUUCGCCCAUUGCGGAAGAUUCCCUACUGCUGCCUCCCGUAGGAGUCUGGACCGUGUCUCAGUUCCAGUGUGGCCGAUCACCCUCUCAGGUCGGCUACGUAUCGUUGCCCUUGGUAAGCCGUUACCUUACCAACUAGCUAAUACGGCGCGGGUCCAUCUAUAAGUGACAGCCGAAACCGUCUUUCAACAUUGAACCAUGCGGUUCAAUAUAUUAUCCGGUAUUAGCCCCCGGUUUCCCGGAGUUAUCCCUAGCCUUAUAGGUAGGUUACCCACGUGUUACUCACCCGUCCGCCGCUAACAUCAGAGAAGCAAGCUUCUCAUUCUGUUCGCUCGACUUGCAUGUAUUAGGCACGCCGCCAGCGUUCAUCCUGAGCCAGGAUCAAACUCU